rnacentral:rRNA from 2 species
AAAUUGAAGAGUUUGAUCAUGGCUCAGAUUGAACGCUGGCGGCAGGCCUAACACAUGCAAGUCGAGCGGUAGCACAGAGAGCUUGCUCUCGGGUGACGAGCGGCGGACGGGUGAGUAAUGUCUGGGAAACUGCCUGAUGGAGGGGGAUAACUACUGGAAACGGUAGCUAAUACCGCAUAACGUCGCAAGACCAAAGUGGGGGACCUUCGGGCCUCAUGCCAUCAGAUGUGCCCAGAUGGGAUUAGCUAGUAGGUGGGGUAACGGCUCACCUAGGCGACGAUCCCUAGCUGGUCUGAGAGGAUGACCAGCCACACUGGAACUGAGACACGGUCCAGACUCCUACGGGAGGCAGCAGUGGGGAAUAUUGCACAAUGGGCGCAAGCCUGAUGCAGCCAUGCCGCGUGUGUGAAGAAGGCCUUCGGGUUGUAAAGCACUUUCAGCGGGGAGGAAGGCGGUGAGGUUAAUAACCUCAUCGAUUGACGUUACCCGCAGAAGAAGCACCGGCUAACUCCGUGCCAGCAGCCGCGGUAAUACGGAGGGUGCAAGCGUUAAUCGGAAUUACUGGGCGUAAAGCGCACGCAGGCGGUCUGUCAAGUCGGAUGUGAAAUCCCCGGGCUCAACCUGGGAACUGCAUUCGAAACUGGCAGGCUAGAGUCUUGUAGAGGGGGGUAGAAUUCCAGGUGUAGCGGUGAAAUGCGUAGAGAUCUGGAGGAAUACCGGUGGCGAAGGCGGCCCCCUGGACAAAGACUGACGCUCAGGUGCGAAAGCGUGGGGAGCAAACAGGAUUAGAUACCCUGGUAGUCCACGCCGUAAACGAUGUCGAUUUGGAGGUUGUGCCCUUGAGGCGUGGCUUCCGGAGCUAACGCGUUAAAUCGACCGCCUGGGGAGUACGGCCGCAAGGUUAAAACUCAAAUGAAUUGACGGGGGCCCGCACAAGCGGUGGAGCAUGUGGUUUAAUUCGAUGCAACGCGAAGAACCUUACCUGGUCUUGACAUCCACAGAACUUUCCAGAGAUGGAUUGGUGCCUUCGGGAACUGUGAGACAGGUGCUGCAUGGCUGUCGUCAGCUCGUGUUGUGAAAUGUUGGGUUAAGUCCCGCAACGAGCGCAACCCUUAUCCUUUGUUGCCAGCGGUUCGGCCGGGAACUCAAAGGAGACUGCCAGUGAUAAACUGGAGGAAGGUGGGGAUGACGUCAAGUCAUCAUGGCCCUUACGACCAGGGCUACACACGUGCUACAAUGGCAUAUACAAAGAGAAGCGACCUCGCGAGAGCAAGCGGACCUCAUAAAGUAUGUCGUAGUCCGGAUUGGAGUCUGCAACUCGACUCCAUGAAGUCGGAAUCGCUAGUAAUCGUAGAUCAGAAUGCUACGGUGAAUACGUUCCCGGGCCUUGUACACACCGCCCGUCACACCAUGGGAGUGGGUUGCAAAAGAAGUAGGUAGCUUAACCUUCGGGAGGGCGCUUACCACUUUGUGAUUCAUGACUGGGGUGAAGUCGUAACAAGGUAACCGUAGGGGAACCUGCGGUUGGAUCACCUCCUUA